CCCCCCGUCAGGAUGAACGCUAGCGGCAGGCCUAAUACAUGCAAGUCGGACGGGAUCCAUCGGAGAGCUUGCUCGAAGAUGGUGAGAGUGGCGCACGGGUGCGUAACGCGUGAGCAACCUACCUCUAUCAGGGGGAUAGCCUCUCGAAAGAGAGAUUAACACCGCAUAACAUCUACAGUUGGCAUGUUUGGUUGAUUAAAUAUUUAUAGGAUAGAGAUGGGCUCGCGUGACAUUAGCUAGUUGGUAGGGUAACGGCUUACCAAGGCGACGAUGUCUAGGGGCUCUGAGAGGAGAAUCCCCCACACUGGUACUGAGACACGGACCAGACUCCUACGGGAGGCAGCAGUAAGGAAUAUUGGUCAAUGGGCGGAAGCCUGAACCAGCCAUGCCGCGUGCAGGAUGACUGCCCUAUGGGUUGUAAACUGCUUUUGUCCAGGAAUAAACCUAGAUACGUGUAUCUAGCUGAAUGUACUGGAAGAAUAAGGAUCGGCUAACUCCGUGCCAGCAGCCGCGGUAAUACGGAGGAUCCGAGCGUUAUCCGGAUUUAUUGGGUUUAAAGGGUGCGUAGGCGGCCUAUUAAGUCAGGGGUGAAAUACGGUGGCUCAACCAUCGCAGUGCCUUUGAUACUGAUGGGCUUGAAUCCAUUUGAAGUGGGCGGAAUAAGACAAGUAGCGGUGAAAUGCAUAGAUAUGUCUUAGAACUCCGAUUGCGAAGGCAGCUCACUAAAGCUGGUAUGACGCUAUGCACACUUGUG
rnacentral:rRNA from 1 species